rnacentral:rRNA from 1 species
CCUACGGGCGGCAGCAGUGGGGAAUAUUGGGCAAUGGGCGCAAGCCUGACCCAGCAACGCCGCGUGAAGGAAGAAGGCUUUCGGGUUGUAAACUUCUUUUCUCAGGGACGAAGCAAGUGACGGUACCUGCGGAAUCAGCCACGGCUAACUACGUGCCAGCGGCCACGGUAAUCCGUAGGUGGCAAGCGUUGUCCGGAUUUACUUGGUGUAAAGGGCGUGUAGGCGGGACUGCAAGGCAGAUGUGAAAACCACGGGGUCAACCUGUGGCCUGCAUUUGAAACUGUAGUUCUUGAGUACUGGAGAGGGAGACGGAAUGCCUGGUGUAGCGGUGAAAUGCGUAGAUAUUAGGAGGAACACCAGUGGCGAAGGCGGUCUGCUGGACAGCAACUGACGCUGAGGCGCGAAAGCGUGGGGAGCGAACAGGAUUAGAUACCCUAGUAGUC